AGCAGCCGCGGUAAUUCCAGCUCCAAUAGCGUAUAUUAAAGUUGUUGCAGUUAAAAAGCUCGUAGUUGAAUUUCGGGAUUGACGUGAUGGUCAUGCCUUAAGGGGUAUGAACUGUCACAGUUGAUUUCUCACCUUCUGGAGAAACUUGAUGUCCUUUAUUGGGUGUCUUGCGGAUCCAGGACCUUUACCUUGAAAAAUUAGAGUGUUUAAAGCAGGCAUUUUUGCUCGAAUACAUUAGCAUGGAAUAAUAGAAUAGGACGGCAUGGUUCUAUUUUGUUGGUUUCUAGGAUCACCGUAAUGAUUAAUAGGGAUAGUUGGGGGCAUUAGUAUUCAAUUGUCAGAGGUGAAAUUCUUGGAUUUAUUGAGGACUAACUACUGCGAAAGCAUUUGCCAAGGAUGUUUUCAUUAAUCAAGAACGAAAGUUAGGGGAUCGAAGACGAUCAGAUACCGUCGUAGUCUUAACCAUAAACCUAUGCCGACUAGGAAUCAGACGAUGUUAAUUUUUUAAUGACUCGUUU
rnacentral:rRNA from 1 species